UACGUAUGGUGCAAGCGUUAUCCGGAUUUACUGGGUAUAAAGGGAGCGCAGGCGGUGCGGCAAGUCUGAUGUGAAAGCCCGGGGCUCAACCCCGGUACUGCAUUGGAAACUGUCGUACUAGAGUGUCGGAGGGGUAAGCGGAAUUCCUAGUGUAGCGGUGAAAUGCGUAGAUAUUAGGAGGAACACCAGUGGCGAAGGCGGCUUACUGGACGAUAACUGACGCUGAGGCUCGAAAGCGUGGGGAGCAAACAGG
rnacentral:rRNA from 1 species